AGAGUUUGAUCAUGGCUCAGAUUGAACGCUGGCGGCAUGCCUAACACAUGCAAGUCGAACGGCAGCACGGCAGUAGCAAUACUGUGGGUGGCGAGUGGCGGACGGGUGAGGAAUACGUCGGAAUCUGCCCAGUCGUGGGGGAUAACUAGCCGAAAGGUUAGCUAAUACCGCAUACGACCGAGAGGUGAAAGCGGGGGACCGCAAGGCCUCGCGCGAUUGGAUGAGCCGACGUCGGAUUAGCUAGUUGGUGGGGUAAAGGCCCACCAAGGCGACGAUCCGUAGCUGGUCUGAGAGGAUGAUCAGCCACACUGGAACUGAGACACGGUCCAGACUCCUACGGGAGGCAGCAGUGGGGAAUAUUGGACAAUGGGCGCAAGCCUGAUCCAGCAAUGCCGCGUGUGUGAAGAAGGCCUUCGGGUUGUAAAGCACUUUUAUCAGGAACGAAAAGCGUUGGAUUAAUACUCUGACGUGCUGACGGUACCUGAGGAAUAAGCACCGGCUAACUUCGUGCCAGCAGCCGCGGUAAUACGAAGGGUGCAAGCGUUAAUCGGAAUUACUGGGCGUAAAGCGUGCGUAGAUGGUUCGCUAAGUCGGAUGUGAAAGCCCCGGGCUCAACCUGGGA
rnacentral:rRNA from 1 species